GAGGAGGUAGUCUAAAAAAAACAACUGAUUUCGACUCAGUAAAUUAUGGCUCAAAUCCAUACCCCCUCU
rnacentral:tRNA from 1 species